CGGAACUGUGUUCUCCACUGACAUUCUCCUUCGGCCUGCUGGGCCACGGACCAUGUUCUUCAGGAAUCUUUACAUUGUUUUUCCAUGGCCCUCAAGACCCCGGCUCCUAACACCAUCAUCGCGGGCUUAGGCUUCCCC
rnacentral:lncRNA from 1 species